CGGCGCCUGGGGCCCGGCCGCGCGGAGGCCCGAGCCGGCGGGCGCCCCGGCCCGCGCCGCCCGGCUGUUCAUGAAGCAUGUCGGCCACCAGCGUGGACCCUCAGAGAACGAAAGGACAAGAUAAUAAAGUACAGAAUGGUUCUUUGCAUCAGAAGGAUACUGUUCACGACAAUGACUUUGAGCCCUAUCUUUCUGGACAGUCAAAUCAGAGUAACAGCUACCCCUCAAUGACGGACCCCUACCUGUCCAGUUACUACCCUCCGUCCAUUGGGUUUCCUUACUCCCUCAAUGAAGCCCCGUGGUCAACCGGAGGGGACCCUCCCAUUCCGUACCUCACCACCUAUGGACAGCUCAGCAACGGAGACCAUCACUUCAUGCAUGAUGCUGUUUUUGGGCAGCCCGGGGGCCUGGGGAACAACAUCUAUCAGCAUAGGUUUAAUUUUUUCCCCGAAAACCCUGCCUUUUCUGCAUGGGGGACAAGCGGGUCUCAAGGGCAGCAGACUCAGAGCUCAGCGUAUGGAAGCAGCUACACCUACCCGCCUAGUUCCCUGGGUGGUACGAUUGUGGAUGGACAGACAGGUUUCCACAGUGACACACUCAACAAGGCUCCCGGGAUGAACAGCUUGGAGCAGGGCAUGGUGGGCCUGAAGAUUGGGGAUGUGGCCACGUCAGCAGUCAAGACUGUGGGGUCUGUCGUGAGCAGUGUCGCGAUGGCCAGUGUUCUUUCUGGCAAUGGGGUAGCGAACGUGAACAUGCCAGUUUCAAAACCCACCUCCUGGGCUGCCAUUGCCAGCAAGCCGGCAAAGCUACAGCCCAAGAUGAAAGCCAAGAGCGGGCCCAUGAUGGGCGGUGCCAUGCCACCCCCGCCUAUCAAGCAUAACAUGGACAUCGGCACCUGGGACAACAAGGGGCCUGUGAUGAAGGCCCCAGCUCCCCAGCAGACGCCGUCCCCCCAGUCGGCCCCACAGCCACAGCAGAUUGUCCAGCCUGUUCUGGCCCAGCCGCCAGCUCUGGCCCAGCCGCAGUACCAGAACACUCAGCAGCCACCCCAGACCCGCUGGGUGGCCCCACGCAGCAGGAAUGCAGCAUUUGGGCAGGGCACAGGGGCUAGCAGCGAUAGUAACUCUCCUGGAAAUACCCAGCCCAACCUGGCCCCAAGUGUGGAAUCACACCCUGUUCUUGAGAAACUGAAAGCUGCCCACAGCUACAACCCUAAAGAGUUUGACUGGAAUCUCAGGAGCGGCCGCGUGUUCAUCAUCAAGAGCUACUCGGAGGAUGACGUCCACCGCUCCAUCAAGUAUUCCAUCUGGUGCAGCACGGAGCAUGGCAACAAGCGCCUGGAUGGUGCCUUCCGCUCCCUGGGCAGCAAGGGGCCCGUCUACCUGCUCUUCAGUGUCAACGGGAGCGGACACUUCUGUGGCGUGGCAGAGAUGAAGUCGCCGGUGGACUAUGGCACCAGUGCAGGGGUCUGGUCUCAGGACAAGUGGAAGGGGAAGUUUGAUGUCAAGUGGAUUUUUGUCAAGGAUGUGCCCAACAACCAGCUCCGGCACAUUCGGCUGGAGAACAACGACAACAAGCCCGUCACAAACUCCCGUGACACCCAGGAGGUGCCCUUGGAGAAAGCAAAGCAAGUGCUGAAGAUCAUUGCUUCUUAUAAGCACACCACCUCCAUCUUUGACGACUUUUCCCACUAUGAGAAGCGCCAGGAGGAGGAGGAGGUGGUGCGCAAGACAGUCACUUCCAAGAGUGCUUAAAACCUUGAAGACUUUGAGUGAUCCAUCCAUUUUAAGUUCAGAUGUUGACGCCCUCACGCACGCAGAGACGUCCUCACACACGCUCCGCUGGCGCUGGCCGCAGGUGUUCCGGCCUCAUCAACACGGGGCUGGGGAGCCACCCUUGAUCUGGGGACUGGAUGAAGUCGAGUGCCUGUUAAUUGAGGAACGGCAGAAUCGAAACAAACAAUAAGAAUAAGCCCGUUUCACAUAUGUUCCAACAUUUGACUUUGAAAAACAAAGUUUAAAAAACGUAUGUCUGGUGCUGUCUUCCGGCGCCAGCUCCGCCGUGUCUUCUCGCGCAGGGAUCGAGUUGUUGCAUCUCUAAGUUCUUUGUAGUUGAUUUUGCCCAGAUGGGUCUGCACUUGUUUGUAUGUUUUCUAUGUAUUAUAAUAUUGUAGAGCUCACUAAUAAAGGUGUAUUUUUUUUUGUCAGUUUAUCAAUCAGACUGACCUAGUGCAAAAUACAAGCAUCCUUAAAAACAAAACAAGAACCUAAUACAGCCCAAAGAUUUUUUUUAUUUUGGCAGAAAUUAUGUUAUUAUAUUUACAGUCAUUUAAUAUCUCUAAGUGAGGCUUCUUAUUUCUUGCCCCCUUAUUGCUUCAUAGCAAACAUAAGAAACCAUGAAUUGUUUUGUCAUUUCGAGGGUUCUAUUAAAAUACUUCUAUUAGAUACUGAAGUCAGAAGGUUGACAAGAACCUUGGUCGGCUGGGUUGCUGUUUUUUUUUAUCUGUUGGUGUUUGUCUUAAAGGCUUAUCUGCCCAUUUGAUUUUUUACUAGACAGAAAGGGAAAUAGAAUUUUAAUUUCUCAAACUUGGUGAAAACUGUGGUGUUUUCUUGGGGACGCCCGCUCUUCCUUAGUCAGUGGACCAGUCCCGCAGGCUGCUGUCCCCCCGUGGCUCUGUUGUCAGUGGCUGCAUGGUGAUAUGACUCGUUGUGCUGAGGUUCUGCAGACCGCUCUAGAUCUGGCUCAGCAUUGAGGUUUGCGUUUUGCAGACCAUUUAAUUUCCCUUGAGCCUCCUGAGUUUAAGUUCCACACCAGAGCUGCCGGGCUUCACGGAGGAUCUGGGCGCGCAGACGGGCCACCACGCCAGAGCUGCCGGGCUUCACGGAGGAUCUGGGCGCGCAGACGGGCCACCACGCCAGAGCUGCCGGGCUUCACGGAGGAUCUGGGCGCGCAGACGGGCCACCACGCCAGAGCUGCCGGGCUUCACGGAGGAUCUGGGCGCGCAGACGGGCCGUGGUGUGCCUGUGUCACUUUGACCGUGUGGGUCUGAUUUUUUUUCCUGUUGAAUGUGUUAAAAAAAAAAAAAAAGGCAAAAAACAUAGAACAAAACCCUUGCAGAACUGAUUUGCUGUUGUGUUUUUGUGGCGUGAGGGAGCCACUGAAGAACCCACCACCACCAAGCCGGAGUUUGCUCAUGGAAGCGGUGCUCCUGCCUGUCGCUCCGGCACCCCGCGUCUGCACGUGCCCACCACACCAGAGACAGGGCUCUGGAGCUACAUGCCACAGCCUCUCGUGUAACGUACGCUGCAUUACUUAGACUUGUAUUGGAACGUACCACCUUCUCCGAGCUUCUACUGCCGUGUGGAGUAACGGGCAGCGCUGGAUAACUGUCCUCUAGGAGAAUACAAGCCUUAAUAAACAAUUCCUAUUUAGCACGUUGGGUGUCACGUCGUUUUUUACCUUGUUGCAUGGGCUGCUGUUUUGUAACUGCAAAGCUAUUUGAAGGGUCACUCUCCCAUACCCGUGGUCCUCUGUCUGCCGAAGGGCCAUUCCAGGAAGCAGGGGGUUGAUGGCCCCUGAGACUGUGUGAACUGUGCUGUACCUUCACGUCCUCAUCACACGCUCUCGAGCAGCGCUUUUACAGACUAGGACUCGGAAUGUGUAACCACAGCAUUUGUGUACAAGCAUUUCCAAACACAGCAAAGUUGAAGCAUUCUGCGGUGACUUACGCCCACCACCCAGACCCCACCACUCUUGGCUUCCUCCACCUGGUUUCUCUCCUGUCCCUCUGCCUACUCUUUAGUCUCGUUUUUUAUGCAUUUCAAACUGCAGACAUCAGUACACACCCUCUGAAUCACUCACGCGUAUCACGAGUUAAAUAUUGGUUUGCAGGGUGUUUUGCUUUCGAGCUGAACCACAUGGAAUGACAUGCACCAGUCUUAGGUGUCCCUCCGCAGGCUUUAGCGGUGAGAGAGCUGGACAAAGUGAUGGCCUCGUCCCAGGCAGGCACGCCUCGCUGGGAGGUGUAGUCACUGGUGUGAGGAAGAGAACACGCCACGGAGGUCCCUGCUCUGACAGGCCCCAGGAGGGGAGUCACCCCACCCAGAGAAGAUGGCAAUAAAGACACAACCCCAAAUUGGUCUCAGGUUACUGCUGCGCUUUUAUUGUAGGAAGUGCUUUGUGGACCUCCAGGGGUUAAUGCUCUCGUGUCUGGCUGCCAUUUCUGACCUGGGUUCCAUCGCUGGGCCCCUCUAAAUAUGACAUAAUUCUUGGUAAUGGCUGGCCGAGUGGCACGCUGACAGUGCAUAUCCCAACAGGGUGCCCCCCUUUUGGGGCCAUGUCUGAGCAGUGAGGAUGGAGGGAUUGCAUGGACUGGAGGAGGUGGCAGAGCUGUGGGGUGAGUUGUGGGGACUCCAGUCCAGUGGCAUUAGUUGCUAACAGAAUGAACAGAGCUGCCACUAAUGUCACCCACUCUGAAGGCUUCCCCCAAACCCAGGGAGGACUUAGCCACUCCUGCUGAGGGGUCUCUGAUGUUUAAGUACUCGGCUACUGACAGAGAGGUCAAAGGUUCGAGUCCACCCAGAGGUGCCUUGGAAGAAAGGCUUGACAGUCUGCUUCCAAAAAAUCGGCCACUGAAAACCCUCUGGAGCACAGCUCUGCUCUCACACAUGGGGUCGCCUUGAACAGGAGUUGGCCUGACAGGACAGGUUUGGUCUGAUCCCUCUGGUAACACGCAAACCCUUUGACAGAUGUCGGACGCCAAGUUUGAGGGCAGGGCAGGUGUCCAGUCAUCUUGGUCUUCUAGCGCUUAGCAAGACCUGGCUUAAGGAAUCGGGAACAAUUCAUUUAACCGCCAUCAGGUUUUGCUUCAUAAAGCUAUGCAAGUUGUUAGUAUUUCCCACGCCUCUUCCUCAAAGGCACACCAUGUUAAAAGUUAGGCUGCUUAAAUGUCAUAGUGCAUGCUAAGCUCCUGCCUUUGAGGGAGGGGGGUCACCAAGGCCUUCUGAGUCACCAUGGGAUGCUUUUGGUAACCUUUCAUCCCCCAGCCACCCAGCCUGUCAUGUGGGAGAGCGACCAUGGUUAAUGUCUGGAGAUGCCUGUAAUGCCCAGUGCCGUGUUGUGUCCCCAGUUGUCCAGCCCAGGCCCCUUGUCGUCCUCCCCCAAGCCCGGGGACCUUGGGCAG